rnacentral:tRNA from 1 species
GCCCCAGUAGUUCAACGGAUAGAACACGUUCCUACUAAGCUCGCGAUUCUGGUUCGAUUCCAGACUGGGGCU